CAGCCGCCGCGGUAAUACAGAGGGUGCAAGCGUUAAUCGGAAUUACUGGGCGUAAAGCGCGCGUAGGUGGUUUGUUAAGUUGGAUGUGAAAGCCCCGGGCUCAACCUGGGAACUGCAUCCAAAACUGGCAAGCUAGAGUACGGUAGAGGGUGGUGGAAUUUCCUGUGUAGCGGUGAAAUGCGUAGAUGUAGGAAGGAACACCAGUGGCGAAGGCGACCACCUGGACUGAUACUGACACUGAGGUGCGAAAGCGUGGGGAGCAAACAGGAUUAGAUACCCCUGUAGUCCCUGUCUCUUAUAU
rnacentral:rRNA from 1 species